CUACGGUUGCCUUUGACAACGAAUGCACUUUCAAAUUGCACGUCGCAAUUAUUAUUGUUAAUGCUUAGCUCUGCACACGCAUAGUCAUAAUAUGAUUAUAGCGACCUUCACAAACGUUGCAAUCUUCUGCAAAAUUACCGUCAUUGGGCAAUGGACUAGUCCGAAUUAUAGAUGCAAAUUGUAGAGUUCCGUCUCUUGAGUGAGUCUGGCAGUGCAGAUUGUUGCAGCCGGUUCGUUCCAGCUUCAGCGUGACUACGCCUCCUCUCGUCUGGGGAUCUUCCAAAGGGACGGUUUCCAAAUCCUCUCCUUUUCCUGUAAAACCGUGAACUACAGUUAACCAUCCAAGAUGCCAAGGGUGACUCCGAAGUUAAGAAAACCGCUUGUUCCUCCUUCAGGAAAGGUUAUGCCAAAGACUAAAAAGACCCAAGCGGUAAGUCAUGAUAUUCCAUAAUAUCUUAGACCUAUAUGUUUACCAUUGAAAACAUUAACAACUAUUAUGACUUGCUGUAUGUGUAGGUAGCAUUUGUCGUAUGCACCUAUCUAAAAUGUUGCCUAUUGUAGGUAAUAAAUAUUUGUGAUAAUAUUUUGUGUAUUUCUAUACUUUCAUGUACCAUGACUUUUCAUGUAAACGACCACUGCUGUUAGAAAGCAAUAUGUAGUGUUUCGCCUUAGUAGGCAUUCUUCCAUCUUUCCAGAUACAAAUGAUAUAUUACUAGAGUUAUUUGCAUUAU